rnacentral:rRNA from 1 species
GGCCUUUGGGGUAUAUAAAAGGUCUGACCUGCCCACUGAAGUUUAAAGGGCCGCGGUAUUUUGACCGUGCAAAGGUAGCAUAAUCACUAGUCUUUUAAUUAAAGGCUGGAAUGAAUGGUUGGACGAGGUGUUAACUGUCUUAUUUUAAUCGUAAUUAGAAUUUAACCUUUUAGUGAAAAGGCUGAAAUGAAAUUAGAGGACGAGAAGACCCUAUAGAGCUUUAUAGUUUUAGGUUAUUUUUCUUGAGGGGUAUAAAUUUUAAUUUUAAUACUAUUUUGUUGGGGUGACAAAAAGAUAUAAUAAACUCUUUUUUAUUAAAAUCACGUAUAAGUGAAUUUGUGAUCCAGAAUUUUUGAUUAUAAGACUAAGUUACCUUAGGGAUAACAGCGUAAUCCUUUUUGAGAGUUCUUAUCGAUAAAGGGGGUUGCGACCUCGAUGUUGGAUUAAGGGUAAUCUCGGGUGAAGCCGUUCGAGAUUUGGGUCUGUUCGACCUUUGAAUCCUUACAUGAUCUGAGUUCCAACCG